rnacentral:misc_RNA from 1 species
CACCACUCGAGCACAGCUCGGUGUUGGGGCGCGCGGGUCCCACAGCGGCCCGCGGCCCCGAAGGCCAGCGGCGGCGGCCCCAGGAGCCCUCUGCGUAGUGAAACCCUCGCACCGGGAGCCUGCGGCCGGCCAGCCCCCCAACUCUGGAGCCCCUCGCGGGGAACUCCAUCU